UCGAGAAAGACAUAAUGGUUAUGGCAUUGGCUUGAAACCAGUUCUAGGGGGUUCGAUUCCUUCCUUUCUUAAUUAC
rnacentral:tRNA from 1 species